rnacentral:rRNA from 1 species
UACGUAGGGUGCAAGCGUUAAUCGGAAUUACUGGGCGUAAAGCGUGCGCAGGCGGUUAUGUAAGACAGGGGUGAAAUCCCAGGGCUUAACCUUGGAACUGCAUUUGUGACUGCAUAGCUAGAGUACGGUAGAGGGGGAUGGAAUUCCGCGUGUAGCAGUGAAAUGCGUAGAUAUGCGGAGGAACACCGAUGGCGAAGGCAAUUCCCUGGACCUGUACUGACGCUCAUGCACGAAAGCGUGGGGAGCAAACAGG